GACGAACGCUGGCGGCGUGCCUAAUACAUGCAAGUCGAACGCCGUGUCGCACGCGUGAGUAUCGCGUAGGUAACUGCCCCAUAGCGGGGGAUAACUUUUUGAAACGAUAGCUAAUACCCCAUACUGUGAGCUGGACCUGCGUUGUAUUGGUUAGUUGGUGAGGUAAAGGCUCACCAAGGCGCCGAUCCAUAGCCGAGCUGAGAGGGUGAUCGGCCAAAAUGGGACUGAGGCACGGCCCAGGCUCCUAAGGGGGGCAGCAGUAGGGAAAUAUCGGCAAUGGACGGAAGGCUGACCGAGCAACGCCGCGGGAGUGAAGAAGGUUUUCGGAUCGGAAAGCUCUGUUGUGAGAGAAGCGGUAACUAAACAGAAAGGGACGGCUAACUACGUGCCAGCAGCCGCGGUAAUUC
rnacentral:rRNA from 1 species